rnacentral:RNase_P_RNA from 1 species
AGAGACGGAUAUGCAGUCGCUUUGCAUUUAUUGUGAAGAGGAAAGUCCGAACUUUAACUGCAAAAAGGCAUAGGCAUUAUUGCAGAAAACGGUAGCAGGUAAUACCUGUCGCCCGCAAGGAUAGAGGUGCGAACAGAGACGCCUUUUCCGGAGACGGAAAAAGUAUCCUUAUAUCAAGGGAGACGUCUUCCCGCAAAUAAGAAAGCGGGAAAAAUAGCCUGAAAAAAGGAUAAGCUUUGCAGCAAUGCAGAAGGUGAAACGGCUAAAUCCUUACUGGAAAGCAAGACUGAAGUAUAGUCGCUUGACUGUUAAAAGUGAUUUUAACGGCAGAGAAAUGACUGCGCUUUUAAAAUUUAUUUUUAAAAGACAGAAUUCGGCUUAUAAUCCGUCUUUGUUU